rnacentral:ncRNA from 1 species
AAGAAAAUAAAGUUCAGACAUACAAAAAAUAUAUAUAUAUAAUUAUCUAAAACUAAAGACUGUGAGAUAUUUUAAAUGCUUAUAACCUAAAUUAUGCACUGUUGAAAAAGGUCUUUUUCCUAUACAGGUUCAACAUGUUUGAGAGUGAUACGUAGUUCACAGAGGCUUUCGUUACUGUCAUUUAAAAUGAUAUAUUGGGCUUAUGAAACUGAACUGUUAUAAUUUAGGAGAAUGAGAGAAAUCAUUUCAACUAGUUGUCCUAGUUUGAAAAUACAUUGUUGGCUCGUGAAGGCCCGCGGCGGGUGUUGACGCGAUGUGAUUUCUGCCCAGUGCUCUGAAUGUCAAAGUGAAGAAAUUCAAUGAAGCGCGGGUAAACGGCGGGAGUAACUAUGACUCUCUUAAGGUAGCCAAAUGCCUCGUCAUCUAAUUAAUGACGCGCAUGAAUGGAUGAAUGAGAUUCCCACUGUCCCUACCUACUAUCCAGCGAAACCACAGCCAAGGGAACGGGCUUGG